CUAAUUUCAUUUGUGCCAAUUGUGACGGUAUUUUUAUUGAUACAUAGGUGUUUAGGAAUCAUAAGUGUGAACCGCUUAACAAGGUUGGAAAAGAUGAACCAUUCCAGUGGAACCAUAAUGCUAUAUUAGGUCUAUUAGCUGUAUAUAAUACUGUACAACUGAUAAAGAAAAUGUUAGAAAACACAAACACUACUGGCAGAAUAUUGCGAAAGAUUUAUAAACAUUAGGAUAUGAGGUGACUUCUGAUCAGACCAGAUGGAAAUUUAAUGUACUGUUAAAGAAAUAUAAAGAAUGUCUAAAUCAGGAAGAAGUCCAAUGACAUUCGCUUAUUUUAAUGAAAUGCAAGAAAUGUUUGAACAUCGGAAAAAUAUUAAUUGCAACCACAUAAUCGAUUCUUCAUUUUUUGAGAGCAAAAGACAAUCAUCUUCAUUCGUCGAAUCUGAUAAGCAAAUAUUAACAGCAACAAAAAGAAAACAAGCGGUAUCAUCUACAUCUAGAUCAUCACCAACAAAACUUUCAAUAAUUGAAUGUCAGCAAGAGUUAUUAAAUAUGGCAUCUUCUGCAACAUCUUCUGAAACAUCUUCUGAAACAAACAUCAGUUUCU